AUUAUUUUCAUUAAUUAUUUAAAUUAAAAAAAAAAUCUUUCCAAAGCUAAUCAAAUCAGAAAUUCAAAAAUACCCAAAAAAAACCGAAAAAAGAAGCAAACUCCCUGAUUAAUCAAAUGUUCUCGGCAACACCAACAAUCAACCGUAUACCACUGGAUACUCAAUCUCAAUCUUCAUCCACCAAUUUCGCCUUCUAUCAUUUUUACCUAGGCUUGUCCUGCAAAACUUAAUUGGCAGACCCUGCCCCCAUUUUAUUUUUUCUAUCACAAAAUCUUGUUUACAAAGGUUGUACAAUAAUUUAUUGUACAUCAAGCCCAAUUAACAGACCUGCGUUGGACUCACACGUGUGAGUAGGAUUCAAAAUCGUCCUUCUCUAUUCACUCUUUUACUCCCGUGUUCUCUUUCUUUCUCUCUCCUGUAUCUCUCUCUCUCCUUCUCUCUGGCGAUUUUCUUCGAUUUUCUCUGCGAUUUUUUUGCUAUUGUUUUCUCUGCGGUUGUUCUUCAUUGAUUCCACUCCAUAAUCAAGGUGGAAGAGGCAUAAGUGGAGCAGCUGGCCACAAGGAUACAGAAGCAAAACCUUCCCCCCUUUGGCAUCAGCAUGAAUAGAAGUUUUCUUACGGACAACGCAGGGCAGAAGAACUCGAUGCUAAUAUGUUUGGAUUCUUUUUCUGUCUUUUGUGCGCUAUGGAAGCUUCCCCUAUCACGCUCAAUCCUCAUAAGAUACAUGGAUUCUAGUUGGUCCUUAACAUCAACUUGGGCAGCAUUAGAAAGAAAAAAGAGAGGUGCAACUACCAUAUGUAAUCUGUGUAUCGCAAUGUCACACAAACAUAUCGUCAUACAAUCUCCAAAUAAACUUCUAUUGAAACUGCACAAUAUAUAUAGCUAAUUCCAUCAAA